CUAUACUAUAGGUGGACCGCAAUGUCAAAAUUGCUGUUCGGCCAUUGCUCGUGAAAAAACAAAUUUGUUUACAAAACAUAUCAUAUCUUUUGGUGACAAAUGCAUUCGUCGGCAAAAUAGCUGCUCGCGCUUUACUGUAGAUAUCUACAAUCAGCGGUCGAAUUAAAAACAGUGCAGAAGGAUGUUUUGAGUAUGUUUUAGCUUCUAGCCGCGCAAUCAAUGCUUUUUUUCCAAGCAAGAUGUACUUCUGUUUGGAUCCUAUCGGCGGGGAAAAAAGUACUUACGGCGACGGUGACAAGAAAUAGCGCUGAUUGCGAGAUUACCAGAUCCAGAAGAUCCGGAAGGGCUGUUACAAGUAAUUGGUUUUGCUAGAGCAAAAGGAGGUUGACAAUGAUUGCAACAGGUGAAAUAAACUGUUGGAAUCACGACUAUCGAUCACGCCAGAAGAUCCGGAAAGAGUUGUUUUUGUUUUUCGUUAUGCGGACCUUGUUUCCGCAUCCUUUUACUGCACAAUAAUACGGCAUCUGAAGAAAAUAAGAUAUUCACAAUAUAAUUUUGGCAUGAUAGAGAACCGCGAGAUGAACGAUUAUCUGUGGAGGAGUUGGACAACAGAUUUCUUAGACUUAUAGCACUUUAAUCACACUCACAAGCUCUUCAAAUCCUCACUGUCCCCCAAAACUAUUGAAUAAUAUGUAAUAUAAAUACCUUAUUGCAGCUCUAGUACACUAUUUUUCACGAAUAUAUAUUUGCUUAUUUCUUUCUUCAGUUGUUUUCCUCAGCGAGUUGAUAUGAAACCAUAACGACACAACCAAACAAAAAGUAAACA